rnacentral:tRNA from 1 species
ACUUAUGUAGCUUACAAUAGAGCACCACAUUGAAGCUGUGGGGGUGGCGAGAUCGCCUUUAAGUA